rnacentral:rRNA from 1 species
UACGAGGGGGGGCAAGCGUUGUUCGGAAUUAUUGGGCGUAAAGGGUGCGUAGGCGGUUUGACAAGUCUGAUGUGAAAAUCUAUGGGCUCAACCCAUAGUCUGCAUUAGAAACUGUCGGGCUUAGUAUGGGAGAGGUGAGUGGAAUUUUCCGGUGUAGCGGUGAAAAUGCGUAGAUAUCGGAAGGAACACCUGUGGCGAAAGCGGCUCACUGGACCUUCUGACGCUGAUGCACGAAAAGCUAGGGGGAGCAAAACAGG